GACGAACGCUGGCGGCGUGCUUAACACAUGCAAGUCGAACGGAAAGGCCCUGCUUUUGUGGGGUGCUCGAGUGGCGAACGGGUGAGUAACACGUGAGUAACCUGCCCUUGACUUUGGGAUAACUUCAGGAAACUGGGGCUAAUACCGGAUAGGAGCUCCUGCUGCAUGGUGGGGGUUGGAAAGUUUCGGCGGUUGGGGAUGGACUCGCGGCUGAUCAGCUUGUUGGUGGGGUGGUGGCCGACCAAGGCUUCGACGGGUAGGUGGCCUGAGAGGGGGAUCGGCCACAUUGGAACUGAGACAGGGUCCAGACGCCUACGGGAGGCAGCAGUGGGGAAUAGUGGACAAUGGGGGCAAGCCUGAGCCAGCGGGACCGCGUGGGUGAAGAAGGCCUUCGGGUUGUAAAGCCCUUUUGUUGGGAAAGAAAAGCAGCAGGUUAAUACCCCGCUGUUCUGACGGUACCGAAAGAAUAAGCACCGGCUAACUUCGUG
rnacentral:rRNA from 1 species